CAUUUUAGUGCACACAGCCAGGGCAUCUAGAGCAGAUUCUAGUUUUUGCAGUUUUGCUAAAGCCCAAUACCCAUUUGUGCUGGUAGCUGUGGUAGUGAUGAUGCAGAAGGGAACAUGUUCAUCCUCACAAAAUGCUCCCCAAGGUAGCAACCCAGAGUCUAGCACUAGGUUUGUGCUUUGAACUCAUCUAAGACAGAGCAUGUCCAAAGAGUCAUAAUUGCAGGGUGACAAGAUUGGAGGUCAGUGCUCUAUUUUCCAGCUAAAUAAGGGAAUGAGAAGUUGAGAGUUGAUACCUCCCUCUCCUCUCCCUCACUUGCAAGCACUUUGCACUUCCUUGCUAAGGCCUCAGGCUCCAGAGGGGCCCAGGAAGGUCUUAGAACCCAGCAAAGAGAGCUGAGUUUUCCUAUGGCACCCAAUAAGGUCUCAAGGAAGAAGGGAGGGAUGGGAGUGGCCCAAUCCUUAAUAACGUUCCUGCGGAUCUUUGUUUUCCUAAAGACUGGCUUGCAGACCGCAAGUAUGACUCCACUAGCAGCGAUGACGACGACAAUCCAGCUGUCUACACUCUUUGAGGAGGAGGAGUCUGUUUACAUCAACCUUCUUUUCUGGGAAUGCACAGAAGAAAUCAAUGAUGUAAAAAGAGAGGAAGAAGAGGAAGAAGAAAUGUUAGUGUGGAGUGGGUGGGAUGAAGAGGGAAGGGAAAUGAGUUCACAUGCACUAACUUUCUUUGCCACUUCAGGAAGUUCAGCAUUCAUGAGGAGCUUGCUGGAGUGCCUGCAACUGUGUGUGAAUAUGGACGUGGAGAUAGGAAUCUGAUGGGGAAAUGAGCACAGAUCCUACAACUGACUGCUACAAGGAUGCUGAGCUGGAGGCCUCAGCCUGAAGCUGAGUAGACCUGGAGAUCUUACGGUGCUUGGAGACACUUAUGUGCUCACCAUUCUACUCCACUGUGAAUGAACAACUAAGUGGCACUUUAGUUUUUAAUCCAAAGAAUUAAAUCCAAAGAAUUAAUGAAGUCUUA
rnacentral:lncRNA from 1 species